rnacentral:rRNA from 1 species
AUUGAACGCUGGCGGCAGGCCUAACACAUGCAAGUCGAACGAGUGGCGGACGGGUGAGUAAUGUCUGGGAAACUGCCCGAUGGAGGGGGAUAACUACUGGAAACGGUAGCUAAUACCGCAUACCAUCGGAUGUGCCCAGAUGGGAUUGGCUAGUAGGUGGGGUAAAGGCUCACCGAGGCAACGGUCCCUAGCUGGUCUGAGGGGAUGACCGGCCACACUGGAACGGGGAAACGGUCCAGACUCCUACGGAAGCCAGCAGUGGGAAUUAUUGCACAAUGGGCGCAGGCCUGAUGCAGCCAUGCCGCGUGUAUGAGGAGGGCCUUCGGGUGGUAAAGUACUUUCAGCGGGGAGGCGUUACCCGCAGAAGAAGCACCGGCUAACUCCGUGCCAGCAGCCGCGGUAAUAC